rnacentral:rRNA from 1 species
UCAGGACGAACGCUGGCGGCGUGCCUAACACAUGCAAGUCGAGCGGGGACAUACGACGGAUAGGAAGUUUCGGAUGGAAUUGAAGAUGUAUUGUUCUAGCGGCGGACGGGUGAGUAACGCGUGAGCAACCUGUCCCUUACAGGGGGAUAACACAGCGAAAGUUGUACUAAUACCGCAUAAGACCACGGGGAGACAUCUUCCAGGGGUCAAAGGAGCAAUCCGGUAAGGGGUGGGCUCGCGUCCGAUUAGAUAGUUGGUGAGGUAACGGCCCACCAAGUCGACGAUCGGUAGCCGACCUGAGAGGGUGAUCGGCCACAUUGGGACUGAGACACGGCCCAAACUCCUACGGGAGGCAGCAGUGGGGAAUAUUGGGCAAUGGGGGGAAACCCUGACCCAGCAACGCCGCGUGAGGGAAGAAGGUUUUCGGAUCGUAAACCUCUGUCCUUGGUGAAGAGGAAGAGACGGUAGCCAAGGAGGAAGCCCCGGCUAACUACGUGCCAGCCGCUGC